rnacentral:sRNA from 1 species
UACGUCUAUAGUUUACAGAGGAUGAGAACCUCCGAAGGAGGUUUGAGCCGAGCGAAGCGAGACAACGUUGCUUUAGCAACGGCCCGCAGGGCGAGUCACGCAGUGGCGAGUAAUCCUCUCUCGCCGACCA